AUGAACGCUAGCGGCAGGCCUAAACAUGCAAGUCGAGGGGCAGCACAGGUAGCAAUACUGGGUGGCGACCGGCGGAUGGGUGCGUAACGCGUAUGCAACCUACCAUUGAUUGGGGCAUAGCCCGAAGAAAUUCGGAUUAAUACUCCAUAAUAUUCAUCAAAGGCAUCUUUUAUGAAUUAAAGCUUUUGCGAUCAAUGAUGGGCAUGCGUGACAUUAGUUAGUUGGUGAGGUAACGGCUCACCAAAACGAUGAUGUCUAGGGGUUCUGAGAGGAUUAUCCCCCACACUGGUACUGAGACACGGACCAGACUCCUACGGGAGGCAGCAGUGAGGAAUAUUGGUCAAUGGACGCAAGUCUGAACCAGCCAUGCCGCGUGCAGGAUGACGGCCCUAUGGGUUGUAAACUGCUUUUCCACGGGAAGAACCCUCCGACGUGUCGGAGACUGACGGUACCGUGGGAAUAAGCAUCGGCUAACUCCGUG
rnacentral:rRNA from 1 species